rnacentral:tRNA from 1 species
GGGGGCAGAUGGGUGCUGGUGUGCCCGCUGGUCUUCAAAACCAGGCAGAGUGGUUAGCCCCGCUCAGGUGGGUUCGAUUCCUACAUGCUCCCGCCA